AACGUAGGAGACAAACGUUAUCCGGAGUUACUGGGCGUAAAGGGCGUGUAGGCGGUCUGUUAAGUCUGGCGUGAAAGCUCUCGGCUAAACCGGGAGAGGUCGUUGGAUACUGGCAGACUAGAGGACGGUAGAGGCGUGUGGAAUUCCCGGUGUAGCGGUGAAAUGCGUAGAGAUCGGGAGGAAGGCCGGUGGCGAAGGCGGCGCCCUGGAACGUUUCUGACGCUGAGGCUCGAAAGCGUGGGGAGCAAACAGG
rnacentral:rRNA from 1 species